UUAAAAAAAUAGAGAAGAAAAGAAAAUAUCUCAGCUCUCUUCUUCUCCUUCUCCUUCUCUUUCUCCAUUCUUCGAGAAAUGCCCCAUUGGUCAUAUUUUUUUUUCUUUUUCUUCCUCUCCUCCAGUAGAUGCCACCACAAAUCCACCCUUACGUCGUUCGACUCACUAGACGACGACCAACACACUGGCACUUCCAUCUCUCCUGCACGCCGGCUACGAUGCAUACUGGUAAGACGCUCUUGCAUCACGCAAUGUUCUUUUUCUUGCCGUUGCGAGUCACUUGGCUUGUAGAUCUACCAAGCUGAGCCAAGUUUGCUCAAAGUUGCCACGUCACUCCUCACCUACAACUUCUUACGUCAUGUGGAGUAUUGGGAGAUUGUAGCUGCUAUUCGUAUCCGUUCUUCGUUCAAAUUAACCACUUAAAGUAAGAUCUUUAUGGUUUGGGAAUGUCUUUUUGGGUGAUUUUGAAUACCCAUUAAGUUUAGACUAGAGCUUAACAUUACCCAUUAUUUUUCAAUGCUAGAUUCGAGUUGUAGAAGUGUUUGAGCCGCUGUCUAGCCAUUCAAAAGGUCGUAAUUAGGCGUUUUGACGCAACUUGGAAAAAAAAGGGGGGAAAAUUGGCCCGCACAAAAUAAAAAAAGAAAAAGAGGAAAAAAGGGAGAACUUCUCGUACGUUUGGAGCCGAAAACGAAAGUCGAUCGAUCUGAAGAAAGACCUACUCGAUCGCGAUCUCUGUCGUUUGUCUCUCUACAGCCGACGGCAGUUCUCGACGACAGUCGUUCAACCAACGAUGGCCGUUCAAUCGAAAAACAAAGCAAAAAAAUCGAAGACGGUGGUUCUCGACGACGACGACGUCUCUCCCGGUAAGUAACAUUCUCUAUUUCUCGAAUUUCACUAUUUCAUUGUUAAGAUAGUGAUAGUGUCGGUGAUUUCAUUGUUUCUUUAGCUUAAUACCCCAAUAGAGUGUUGUUUGCGAGUCAAAAUCAUGUUGUGGACACAAGUUUGGGUUUAGGCUUUUAUAAAUAACAUCUUCUGUUACUUUCCUUUUUUUCUCACUAAUCUUAAACACAAUAGUUGGAUUGCUUGUGGUUUCUAUAUGUAUAUAUGUAUUAAAAUGAAAAAUAAUCAAUAGUUGUUGGCAUAUGAAAUCGAACCUAAACAAUGAGAGGGGAAAAGUCUGGGUUUCUUUAAAUAUCUAGAUUAAAGAUGCAAAGGAGACCACAGAGCAGAAGGGUUCACUGGAUUUAAUCUAUUUAACAGAUCAUCAUUCAAUUUUUUUUUUUGAUAUGUUUAAAAGAGAAUGGCAAAAAAACUUUAAAUUUUCUAUUUUUGUUGGUUUUAACUUGCUAUUUGAAACUGGCAUUGAGUUUUUUUUUUAUCUUUACAUUCUACUUUAACUCUAGCACCUGUGAACAAAUAGUAUAACCUCACAAAUCAUUGUCAAUUGAAAAAAAAAAGAAACAAAAAAUACAACAUGGGAUGAAAUGAUGGUUGGUUCUUUUAAAUCAUUGAUUUUUGGCUAACACUCUUCUUAUCUUUUAUCCUUAAAUAGAAAUAACUUUGCAAAGGUUCAAACACAAGAUCUAAGGCACUUGAACCGAAAUUGAAUACAAAUCACUUCUUGUAUCACUAAUUUAUGAGUUUCAUGGUAAAGACAGAAUCACAUAAUUGGGAUUGGGAUUGGGAUAGGGACUCAGUUUCUUCAUGAGAUAGUUACGGGAGCCACACAAUUUUCUUCUCUUCUCAUCCUCAAUAACUCUUUUUUAAUAUAUAUAUUUUUUAUUUCAGUUACUUUUGGACAAUUAAAGGGUUGUUUUCUUUGAUCAAAUAUUUACUUUAGAGUCUAUUUUUUUAAAAUAUUUAGUUGUUGUCGUUGUAACCAAUUUCUUUAAUCUAGAUAUUGCAAAAGGCCAUGUUAGCUUCCAUUUGUUUGUUGAUCAUUAUUGCUGCCUGAUUUGUUCAUUUGAGUUUGUGUGUUAUUUCCUAUCAAGGAAGUAGCUUAUAUUCAUUCUAGUAGAUGUUUAUGAUAAUAGUAGGAAUCUGACCAUUUACUUUUUUAGAAUGGAAAGUGGUUACGUUCUAUUUCUACUCUUUUUUGAAUAAAGUACCUUUAAGUACAACUUCCUUUGGUCGUAUAUUAAUGUUUUAUAGUUGUCGGCAGGUUUUGAUGCUUAGAGACUUGAGUCAAGCAUGAGUAUUUAAUCUGGAUGUUAAGUCAAGUAGUUAGUUACUCUUUUUUUAACGACUUACUGUUACCCUCUUCUUCUCCUUACUUUUGAUCUUUGCUUAUUGGUUAUGGGAAGAAUUUGUUCAUUUGAGUUUGUUUACUAUUUGCUAUCAAGGAAGUACUACUUUAUAUUCAUUCAAGUGUAUGUUUAUGAUAAUAGUAGGAGUAGGACCAUUUGACUUUCUAGACCUUUAUUUGAAAGCAUCAUCAUUGGAGUUGGAUUCUUGAUUGCACGAAGUUAUAAAACCUAGUCUGUAAUUGAGUUGCUUGGUAACCUUGUUGCUUCCUAGUUACUGCAUUCUGAAAUUGGAAUGGCAUGUGGUUACGUUCUAUUUCUGCUCUUUUUGAAUAAAGUACCUUUAAGUACAACUUCCUUUGGUGGUAUAUUAAUGUUUUACUUGUCGGUAGGUUUUGAUGUUUAGAGACUUGAGUCAAGCAUGAGUCUUUAAUAUGGAUGCUUAGUCAAGUAGUUAGUUACUCUUUUUUUAACGACUUAUUGUUACCAUAUUCUUUUCCUUACUUUUAAUCUUUGCUUGUUGGUUAUGAAGAGAAUUUGUUCAUUUGAGUUUGUUUACUAUUUGCUAUCAAGGAAGUAGUUUAUAUUCAUUCAAGUGUAUGUUUAUGAUAAUAGUAGGAGUAGGACCAUUUGACUUUUUAAACCUUUAUUUGUAAGUAUCAUCAUUGGAUUCAGAUUCUUGAUUACACAAAGUCAUAAAUCCUAGUAUGUAUUCUGAAAUUGGAAUAACAAGUGGUUUUCUUCUAUUUCUGCUCUUUUUUUGAAUAAAGUGCCUUAAUUAGUCUUUGCUUAUUUGUGAACAUUAUCUUUGAAUAUCAAUAUGUUUGCAUCGAGUGCUGCCUCUGUUUCUAUCUUUAUUUGGUUUUACUGAAUUUCAGGUGGAAAAUCUUAACAUUGCUUUCGAUAAAGAAUAUUGUAAUAAAAUAUUUAAUCACCAUAAUUAGAAUCAUCUUUUUUUUGUUUUAAUAUAUACAUAUGUACACACAUUUAAGAAGGAGUGCUUUACACACACACAAGAUGUGGCAAAGAGAUAUUGAUACAUUUUAUGUUAAAGUCAAUUUCAUCAUGUUCCAAAGAGAUAUUGAUACAUUUGAAGAGUUUUAUAGGUUUUAGAAGUGCAUCUUUACUGGUCGCAUAUGCAAUUCGAGACAACUCUUAGUGGCAAGUUUUAAAAAGCCAAACCUUUAUACAUAAUGUUUGGAGAAAGAAUGUUCAAUAAAGGGUGGGUACAUCUGAACAGGUACAACAACGUAAUAAUUUAUUAAAAGAUCAAUAAUAAGAAGUAGUUUUCUAUUUUUAAAUGAUGAACAUUUACAUCUUUUUUUAGAGCCACGGACGAGUAUAUGAAAGGUGCGUGGGAGUUUGUGGAGAAAGUAAAGAAGGAUGCAACCUAUGUGGAUUUGAUUGUGUGCACUUGUAAGGAUUGUAGAAACAUGAGUCAUCAAUCAUUUGAUGUUGUUUAUGAGCAUUUAGUAAUUAAGGAAAUGGACCCAACAUAUAAGAUUUGGUACCAUCAUGGGGAAGAAGUUUGUGUAAGGGAAGAAAUUGAGGAUGUAGAUAUGUUUGAUGUAUUUAACAUGUAUCAGUCCACAUAUGAAAGAGAAGAAGUAAAUAAUGAGUCUGCUUUUCAAGUACUGAUAGUGAACUUCAUCAAAAAAUGAAGAAUGCAAAGGCCCCCUUAUAUCCCAAUUGUACAAAGUUCACAAAGAUGUCAGCUACUGUUGCCUUAUAUAAACUUAAAGUUGUGAGUGAGUAUUAAUAACAAUAAUACUCUCCGCAUGUGCACCUUGCUAAAUUAGGGUGGUACAAGAGAGGUGGUUGCUGAAGGUCGAUGGUUCUCAAAUGAUCCUAAAGUUACUGUUCACCAUGUUCCUCUCAGUCCUCAUGCUGUUAGAGUUUGGUUGGACUUGCCAAAGAAGUCGGAUGCAUUUUUAUGGAGACCUAACUAAGAGAUGACAUACAUUGAGGAUGUUGUUGGAAGCAAAGUAGCAUGGCCUCUUGACAAAGUUAUUUUAAGUUGAUGAAAGAACAGUUGUACAAAGCCAAGAAUGUCAUGACCAAGAAUUGUACAAAGCCCUAACCUUUUUGUAACUAAUGGAUAGUAUAGGUUGAUCAUCGUGCUGGAUUAGAUGAUAUAUUAGUGACUAUCUUUUGUGUGAAUACUUAACCAUAGAAAUAUCAUUUUGUGCAGGGCAUUAUAAAUCUUUUGAGUUCUAUUUUGUGUAGGGCAAUACGUAAGGAUAUUUUUUGUUACUUGAUUUUUUAUGUAUGAGUCAUGAACCAUAGGAUUUGAAAUAUACUUUCUUCACAUAA